rnacentral:tRNA from 1 species
UUGGGUGUAGGUCAGCGGUAGAGCACUUGCACAGCAUGCACAAGGUCCUGGGUUCUAUCCCAGCACCAAAU